rnacentral:misc_RNA from 1 species
GAUGAAGAACGUAGUGAAAUGCGAUAAGUAGUGUGAAUUGCAGAAUUCAGUGAAUCAUCGAAUCUUUGAACGCACAUUGCGCCCCUUGGUAUUCCAUGGGGCAUGCCUGUUCGAGCGUCAUUUGUACCCUCAAGCUAUGCUUGGUGUUGGGUGUUUGUCCUCUCCUUUUGCGAUUGGACUCGCCUUAAAGACAUUGGCAGCCAGUGUAUUGGUCUUGAAGCGCAGCACAUUUUGCGAUUCUUGCUGAUAAUCACUAGCGUCCAGUAAGCCUAUUUUAACACUUUUGACCUCGGAUCAGGUAGGGAUACCCGCUGAACUUAAGCAUAUCAAUAAGCGGAGGA